AUUGAACGCUGGCGGCAGGCCUAACACAUGCAAGUCGAACGGUAGCACAGAGGGCUUGCUCUCGGGUGACGAGUGGCGGACGGGUGAGUAACGUCUGGGAAACUGCCCGAUGGGGGGGGAUAACUACUGGAAACGGUAGCUAAUACCGCAUAACGUCGCAAGACCAAAGUGGGGGACCUUCGGGCCUCACACCAUCGGAUGUGCCCAGAUGGGAUUAGCUAGUAGGUGGGGUAAUGGCUCACCUAGGCGACGAUCCCUAGCUGGUCUGAGAGGAUGACCAGCCACACUGGAACUGAGACACGGUCCAGACUCCUACGGGAGGCAGCAGUGGGGAAUAUUGCACAAUGGGCGCAAGCCUGAUGCAGCCAUGCCGCGUGUAUGAAGAAGGCCUUCGGGUUGUAAAGUACUUUCAGCGGGGAGGAAGGCGGUGAAGUUAAUAACUUCACCGAUUGACGUUACCCGCAGAAGAAGCACCGGCUAACUCCGUGCCAGCCGCCGCGGUAA
rnacentral:rRNA from 1 species